rnacentral:rRNA from 2 species
UAGGGAAUCUUCGGCAAUGGGGGGAACCCUGACCGAGCAACGCCGCGUGAGUGAAGAAGGUUUUCGGAUCGUAAAGCUCUGUUGUUAAGGAAGAACGAGUGUGAGAAUGGAAAGUUCAUGCUGUGACGGUACUUAACCAGAAAGGGACGGCUAACUACGUGCCAGCAGCCGCGGUAAUACGUAGGUCCCGAGCGUUGUCCGGAUUUAUUGGGCGUAAAGCGAGCGCAGGCGGUUAGAAAAGUCUGAAGUGAAAGGCAGUGGCUCAACCAUUGUAGGCUUUGGAGACUGUUUAACUUGAGUGCAGAAGGGGAGAGUGGAAUUCCAUGUGUAGCGGUGAAAUGCGUAGAUAUAUGGAGGAACACCGGUGGCGAAAGCGGCUCUCUGGUCUGUAACUGACGCUGAGGCUCGAAAGCGUGGGGAGCGAACAGG